CAGUAGCCACGGUAAUACGGAGGGUGCAAGCGUUAUCCGGAUUUACUGGGUUUAAAGGGUGUGUAGGCGGGCUAUUAAGUCAGGGGUGAAAUCUCCGAGCUCAACUCGGAAACUGCCUUUGAUACUAUUAGUCUUGAAUUAUGUUGAGGUUGGCGGAAUAUAACAUGUAGCGGUGAAAUGCAUAGAUAUGUUAUAGAACACCGAUUGCGAAGGCAGCUGACUAAGCAUAUAUUGACGCUGAUGCACGAAAGCGUGGGGAUCAAACAGGAUUAGAUACCCGGGUAGUCCCUGUCUCUUAUAA
rnacentral:rRNA from 1 species